rnacentral:misc_RNA from 1 species
UAUGAAGAACGUAGCGAAAUGCGAUAAGUAAUGUGAAUUGCAGAAUUCAGUGAAUCAUCGAAUCUUUGAACGCACCUUGCGCCCUUUGGCCAUUCCGAAGGGCAUGCCUGUUUGAGUAUCAUGAACACCUCAACUCUCAUGGUUUGCCAUGAUGAGCUUGGACUCUGGGGGUCUUGCUGGCCUAUGGUCAGCUCCUCUCAAAUAAAUCAGCUUGCCAGUGUUUGGUGGCAUCACAGGUGUGAUAACUAUCUAUGCUUGUGGUUUUCCAUCAGGUAACCUUCAGUGAUGGAGGUUCGCUGGAGCUCAUAAAUGUCCCUCCUCAGCGAGGACAGCUUUUUGAACGUUUGAUCUCAAAUCAGGUAGGACUACCCGCUGAACUUAAGCAUAUCAAUAAGCGGAGGA